GACGAACGCUGGCGGCGUGCUUAACACAUGCAAGUCGAACGGAAAGGCCCCUUUGGGGGUACUCGAGUGGCGAACGGGUGAGUAACACGUGAGUAACCUGCCCUUGACUUCGGGAUAACUUCAGGAAACUGGGGCUAAUACCGGAUAGGAAUCCUUGCUGCAUGGUGGGGGUUGGAAAGCUUCGGCGGUUUUGGAUGGACUCGCGGCUUAUCAGCUUGUUGGUGGGGUAGUGGCUUACCAAGGCUUUGACGGGUAGCCGGCCUGAGAGGGCGACCGGCCACAGUGGGACUGCGAGACGGCCCAGACGCCUACGGGAGGCAGCAGUGGGGAAUAUUGCACAAGGGGCGGAAGCCUGAUGCAGCAACGCCGCGGGCGGGAGGACGGCCUUCGGGUUGUAAACCGCUUUCAGCAGGGGCGAAGCUUGUGGUGACGGUACCUGCAGAAGAAGCACCGGCUAACUACGUG
rnacentral:rRNA from 1 species